GACGAACGCUGGCGGCGUGCUUAACACAUGCAAGUCGAACGGAAAGGCCCUGCUCUUGUGGCGUGCUCGAGUGCCGAACGGGUGAGUGACACGCGUGUAACAUGCCCCUGUCUGUGGGAGAACACUAGGAAACAGGGGCUAAUACCGCAUAGGAGCUCCUGCUGCACGGGGGGGGUUGGAAAGUUUCGGCGGUUGGGGAUGGACUCGCGGCUUAUCAGCUUGUUGGUGGGGUAGUGGCGUUCAAAGGGUUUGACGGGUAGCCGGCCUGGGAGGGUGACCGGCCACAUUGGGCCUGAGAUACGGCCCAGACGCCUACGGGAGGCAGCAGUGGGGAAUAUUGCACAGUGGGCGGAAGCCAGAUGCAGCAGCGCCGCGUGCGGAAUGCCGGCCUUCGGGUUGUAAACCGCUUUCGCCUGUGACGAGGCGUGAGUGACGGUAAUGGGUAAAGAAGCACCGGCUAACUACGUG
rnacentral:rRNA from 1 species